rnacentral:snRNA from 13 species
CUAGGAUUUCUGGAAAAUCUGGNNNNNNNNNNAAAAAAAAAAAAAAAAAAAUCUGUUCUUAUCAGUUUAAUAUCUGAUACGUCCCCUAUCUGGGGACCAUAUAUUAAAUUGAUUUUUGGAAUAGGGAGAUGGAAUAGGGGCUUGCUCCGUCCACUCCACGCAUCGACCUGGUAUUGCAGUACCUCCAGGAACGGUGCACCCCCU